GUAAUCAAUAUAAUUUAUAAAUUUCCAAACCAAACUAAAUAAAAUUACAAGAAAAAUUAGAAAUUAUUAAAAGAAAAAGAUCCAAGCUCCUUCGAAUUUUUCUGCGAGAAACAGACACGAAUAAUUAAUCAAAUCACAACAAUUUUCUUCGUGUUUUUUCGAUCAAUUUCUUCUUUAAAUUUUUCCAAGCUUGUUCAGAUUUCAGAGCUUAACGAUCUUCGCAGCUUUAACAACAGGAUUUUCUCUAGCAAUAGAUUCUCUUCCAGCAGCUUUAUAAUCAUACGAACAAUCAUGACGAUCGGAGUAACGAUGCUCGGAGCAGAAAAGAUCACCGCAUCGGCAACGGAAUCCGGUAAGACCGACUCUCUUCCGACAACCGGAGCAACGAUUCACGGCGCGUUUUGCUUCUGACGACGUUGUUUGAGGUUGAACAUUUGAAUCAUCGUUGCUUGGGUGAGAUCUCUUUUGUGAAAAUGAUGACGUGGCAGAUCUGGCUUUAGAUGAUUUGUCUUCAAAGAAUCUAGAUGGUUCUGUUAACGUUGUUGUUGUGGUUGUUGUUGGUGUUGUUGUUGUUUGUGUUGGGUUGAUGCAUGGUGGUGUUAUUGUUUCAGGAACUUGGAAUUCUGUUUCUUCUUUUUUGGUUAUUUUGUGAGCCAUUUUUUUUAAGGCUUUUUUUCUUCUUGAAAUGAAAGAGUUUUUUUGGUUUGGUUGUUGGUGUGGUUGAAGGAAGAGAUUGAGAUUGAGAAUUUGAGAAUUGUUGAGAAGAGAGGUUGUAGUAUAAAGGGAUGAGAUGAGAUGAGAUAGGUAAAUUGUGCAAAUUGAGAAUGCAAUUGGGAAAUGGAAAUU
rnacentral:lncRNA from 1 species